GGGAGCCGCAUCCUCCACUCCACAAGAGGCUGGGAGCAGGGGGGAGACGGGCAGUCCAGCCGCAGGGGCCACCCGUGCAGCCUCUCCUCUUCACAGAAGCAGGGAGCUGGGCAUUCGAGAAGCAGCAGCCUGAUCUGUUUCUGGUGUCAUCGUAGGUGGCCACCUUUGGCUUCUGGGCUCCUCACCUGGGGCGGGUGGGUGCUCCACCACCCUCCCGCCCUCUUUUCUCCCUGUGGACCACAGAACCGCAUCCAGCACCACGGACAGCUCCCGGAUGGGUCUUGCUAAGCUGCCCAGGCUGGCCUCAAACUUACGAUCCUCCUGCCUCAGCCUCCGGGGUCCCUGGGAUUGCGGGCCUGCUCCACGCUCUCUUACUUAGAAGACAAAAGUGGCUCCAGAGGUCAAGAGCUGCAAGAGCAGGAGGCUGAGCGCAGACGCGCAGAAGGGAGACCCGUCCCGGGAACUUCCUGGAGGAAGGGAAGUCAGUCCUGCGCUGGCCCUGUCCCCGGGUCCCUUCCUGAUAGUCCGCAGUGUGGAGAGACCUUCUCCCCGACUGCCAAGGCCUUUUUGAAGGAUCCUGACCCUUCAAAACCUGUUUGGAUUCAGGGCACUUGGAGCCAUAGAAGAUGGCAGGCGCAACCGCAGCCUGUCGCCGCUCACAGACUGUUAGACAGAGGCUCUGUCUGCAGGGAGGACGACAGAAGGAGGAGGAAAAACAUGCUGCUGGCCAUGUGUGAACUCCAUCCAGGGAUACUGGGAGAUGGACACAGAUCUCUAAGAACCCACUUCCCCCGGCGGCUGGGUUCCCUCUGAGAAGCCUUCCAUCCCGGCCGAAGGCUCAGCGCAGCAGAGUGAGAUCCACCAAGGCAGAAAGGAAAUGGGGAGCACCCACCCUCCAGCCUGGGCAGCCAUCCCACCUGGAAGCUUCUGGAAGGAGCCUUCGCUGGGCCCGUUGCUCCCUGUCCACCGGCUGCCCGUGCAGGCCCACCCCGUUUAUCCCGGGUCGUCUCAGCUGGGCUUCCCACGACCUCUGGGGUGAAGUCCCGUCUCCUGUCUAAUAAAGACUCUUGAGUUUUGACUGACAGUGACCGUGGAUGUGC